CAAUUAUUUAUAGCCUCUGGCUAUAGGAAAUUGUUAGUGGCAGACGGGUGAGUAAUGCGUAGGAAUCUACCUAGUAGUACGGAAUAGCCAUUAGAAAUGGUGGGUAAUACUGUAUAAUCCCCGAGGGGGAAAGAUUUAUCGCUAUUAGAUGAGCCUACGUUAGAUUAGCUAGUUGGUGAGGUAAUGGCUUACCAAGGCUAUGAUCUAUAGCUGGUCUGAGAGGACGAUCAGCCACACUGGAACUGAGAUACGGUCCAGACUCCUACGGGAGGCAGCAGUGGGGAAUAUUGGACAAUGGGCGAAAGCCUGAUCCAGCUAUGCCGCGUGAGUGAAGAAGGCCUUCGGGUUGUAAAACUCUUUCAAUAGGGAAGAUAAUGACGGUACCUAUAGAAGAAGUCCCGGCAAACUCUGUGCCAGCAGCCGCGGUAAUACG
rnacentral:rRNA from 1 species